UACGUAGGGGGCAAGCGUUGUCCGGAAUCAUUGGGCGUAAAGCGCGCGUAGGCGGCCCGGUAAGUCCGCUGUAAAAGUCCAGGGCUCAACCCUGGAAAGCCGGUGGAUACUGUCGGGCUAGAGUCCGGAAGAGGCGAGUGGAAUUCCGUGGUGUAGCGGUGGAAUGCGCAGAUAUCAGGAGGAACACCAAUGGCGAAGGCAGCUCGCUGGGACGUUACUGACGCUGAGACGCGAAAGCGUGGGGAGCAAACAGG
rnacentral:rRNA from 1 species